UAAUCGAAUUAGAGAACACAAACUGUUAAUAUUGCUACUGCUGCUACUAAUAGUUUCUUUUCUUAAAAAACUAUUAUGGUUUCAGCCGAUGAGUAUGCAAAAUUCUCUCAAUCUCAAGAGUUUUUGAAAGAAUAUAUACCAACCACUACUUCUGCUGAAUCAAGUCAAAGAUGUCUUAUCUCCUAAUUAAACAAAUUGAUAAUUGAUUCUGGGGCUACAGAUCACAU
rnacentral:lncRNA from 1 species